rnacentral:lncRNA from 1 species
GUAUUCCUUCCUUUUAAUAUUUGAAUAAUUAUUUUUCUUUCAUGUAAUAUGAUAACUUUAGCCAUACGUUUACUAAUACACAUCAUGAUGUCCGUGGAGAUAUAUCAAAUUGGAGACCAAUGGAAUUGAUUUUUUAUUUCAAUACUUGUGUUCUUAUUCUAUGAAACUAUUUAAAAUAACAAUCAAAGUGCAAAAGGUAUACCUGAUCAUAAAUUGGCGAUUUCACAUAUUUAAACACAUGUCAACGCAGUUUGCGACCAUAGACUAGUCUGCCUCUUUCAAUCUAGAACUUUUUCAAAAUGUGAAUCGUAUUUGCGCUGAUAGAGACACUGUCACAUUUUUAUUUUGUAAACCCAAACAAAUCCCUAGAUAAAUCAAAACAUUGAUCAUUAUCAAUAUUUAUCGUAUUAUGUACAGAUACUAUUCUUUGUUUUAGGUUAUUGCUUUGUUUUUUCGUUCCACCUUGUGUUUCAAUCAAAUACU